rnacentral:rRNA from 1 species
AGUGGCAGUUAGAGAGCUCGUAAUUGAACCUUGGGCCUGGCUGGCCCGUCCGCCUCACCGCGUGCACUGGUCCGGCCGGGCCUUUCCUUCUGGGGAGCCGCAUGCCCUUCACUGGGUGUGUCGGGGAACCAGGACUUUUACUUUGAAAAAAUUAAAGUGUUCAAAGGAGGCCUAUGCUCGAAUACAUAAUCAUGGAAUAAUAAAAUAGGACGUGUGGUUCUAUUUUGUUGUUUUCUAGGACCGCCCCAAUGAUAAAAAGGGAUAGUCGGGGGCAUCAGUAUUCGAUUGUCAGAGGUGAAAUUCUUGGAUUUACUGAAGACUAACUACUGCGAAAGCAUUUGCCAAGGAUGUUUUCAUUAAUCGUUGAACGAAAGUUACGGGAGCGAAGACGAUCAAAUACCGUCCUACUCCUAACCAUAAACUAUGCCGACUAGGGAUCGGGCGAUGUUAUCUUUUUGACUCCCUCGGCACCUUACGACAAAUCAAAGUCUUUGGGUUCUGGGGGGAGUAUGGUCGCAAGGCUGAAACUUAAAGAAAUUGACGGAAUGGAACCUCCGGACUGUAGCCUGCGUUUAAUUGACUCCUUCGGGGAAACUCAGGAGGGCGGACACAAAAGGAUUGACAGAUUGAGAGCUCUGUCGUGACCUCUGUGUGGUGGAGCAUGGCGUUCAUAUUUGUGAAGUGAGUGUCAACUUAAUUGCCAAACGAGAGAGACUCACCAGCUCAACAACCUCGCUAGCAUUACAUGGUCGCAGCUUCUAGAGGACUAUGGAUCAAGACGAUGCAUGUCUGAAGCAAUACAGUCAGUGACCAACUCGAUCUACUGCGAACGCACGCAGCGCUACACUGAC